rnacentral:tRNA from 1 species
GCCUGGGUGGCUCAGUCGGUUGAGUGUCCGACUUUGGCUCAGGGCAUGAUCUCGCAGUUUGUGGGUUCAAGCCCCACGCUGGGCU